GCUGAAGUAGCUCAGUUGGCAGAGUGGCGGUAUCGUAAACCGCAGGUCGUGGGUUCGAUCCCCACCUUCAGCUCCA
rnacentral:tRNA from 1 species